AACGGAGGGUGCAAGCGUUAUUCGGAAUUACUGGGCGUAAAGCGCGUGCAGGUGGUUUUUUAAGUUUCGUGUGAAAUCCCCCGGCUCAACCGGGGAACUGCGCGGAAAACUGAGAAACUUGAAUACGGGAGAAGUGGGCGGAAUUCCCAGUGUAGAGGUGAAAUUCGUAGAUAUUGGGAGGAACACCGGCGGCGAAAGCGGCUCACUAGACCGAUAUUGACACUCAUACGCGAAAGCGUGGGGAGCAAACAGG
rnacentral:rRNA from 1 species